UACAGAGGGGGCAAGCGUUGUUCGGAAUUACUGGGCGUAAAGGGCGCGUAGGCGGCCUGUUAAGUCAGACGUGAAAUCCCCCGGCUUAACCUGGGAACUGCGUCUGAUACUGGACGGCUUGAGUAUGGGAGAGGGAUGUAGAAUUCCAGGUGUAGCGGUGAAAUGCGUAGAUAUCUGGAGGAAUACCGGUGGCGAAGGCGGCAUCCUGGACCAUUACUGACGCUGAGGCGCGAAAGCUAGGGGAGCAAACGGG
rnacentral:rRNA from 1 species